AAAGUCGUAACAAGGUUUCCGUAGGUGAACCUGCGGAAGGAUCAUUAACACGUAUCCAACGUUAAACCCCCCGUGAACCUACAUUCCUUCUCCGCUUAUCCCCUUGAAACGACAGGGUGAUUGCAAAACGGCAUAUUAAAUAAAGCCCGCACCCUAACGGGAGCCGGUGUUAAACUGAACAACUGUUAACAAUGAUAUCUUGGUUCUC
rnacentral:misc_RNA from 1 species